AUGCCUUAAACUAAUGAGUAAGGAAAAUAACGACCCGGGGUGACGCCCGAGUCCUCGCCACGACAAGCGAGAGCAAUUUUUGAACGGGUACAGGUCGGAGCUGCCAGGUGACCUGCCUACUUUGCGGGAUGCCGGCGGCGACGUGAUCUGCCCC
ensembl:snRNA U12 U12 minor spliceosomal RNA